GGCGGCGGCCGCGACUGGCGAGGGUGGGAACGACCACCGGGGAGCGGCCGGACAACCUGCUGGUGCGUCGACCGCCUGGGCGCCUGGG
rnacentral:ncRNA from 2 species